UUAGAGUUUGAUCCUGGCUCAGGAUGAACGCUAGCGGCAGGCUUAACACAUGCAAGUCGAGGGGCAGCAUGUCCAGCAAUGGAUGAUGGCGACCGGCGGAAGGGUGCGUAACGCGUGAGCAACAUGCCCUAUACAGGGAGAUACACCAGGGAAACUUGGUCUAAUAUCCCAUAGCAUUCAUUGAAGGCAUCUUUAAUGAAUUAAAGCUUCGGUGGUAUAGGAUUGGCUCGCGUGACAUUAGCCAGAUGGUGAGGUAACGGCUCACCAUAGCAAUGAUGUCUAGGGGUUUUGAGAGGAAGGCCCCCCACACUGGGACUGAGACACGGCCCAGACUCCUACGGGAGGCAGCAGUGAGGAAUAUUGGACAAUGGAUGGAAAUCUGAUCCAGCCAUGCCGCGUGCAGGAAGACGGCCUUAUGGGUUGUAAACUGCUUUUAUACGGGAGCAAUAAGGGUUACGAGUAAUCCGAUGAGAGUACUGUAUGAAUAAGGAUCGGCUAACUCCGUGCCAGCAGCCGCGGUAAUACGGAGGAUCCGAGCGUUAUCCGGAAUUAUUGGGUUUAAAGGGUGCGUAGGCGGCCAUUUAAGUCAGCGGUGAAAUUUUGCAGCUUAACUGUAACAGUGCCGUUGAUACUGUUUGGCUAGGAUUUGGUUGUAGUGUGCGGAAUGUGUGGUGUAGCGGUGAAAUGCUUAGAUAUCACACAGAACACCGAUUGCGAAGGCAGCACACUAAGUCAUUAUUGACGCUGAGGCACGAAAGUGUGGGGAUCAAACAGGAUUAGAUACCCUGGUAGUCCACACUGUAAA
rnacentral:rRNA from 1 species